CGGGCUGAGUCGGGUCCUGUGGACGAGGCCUGGCCCGCAGAGGCCGCUGUGUCUCUGCACACAACGGCUGUCCAGGCCAGAGCAGCCAUAGUGUAGCCUGGAGCCCCCCCACCGCUCCCAGGGAGGGGAGGGGCCGCCUGAGAUCCCUCAGGAAAGACUGGAUUCCAGGAGGCCUGACCCUCCGAGGGGAACUCGUGUGCUGCCCACCUGCUUCCUGCCGGGGACUGUCGGCCACUGAGCCUUCCAGGACCGGAGCUGCAGGGGCGACGCAGCCAAAUACGGAGACCUGCACGGAGUAAAGCUCACAGUCCGGAGCCUGAAUCCGCCGGCGGCGCAACAGGGGCCAGUUCAGAGCAGGCUGGUCUCGUCUCCUCCGGCCACCGCCCUCCCUCCCGGUCACUUGCAGGCAAUCCCCUGACUCCGCGUCAUCUGCCCCGGAGCCUCAGUACACAGGGCAUGUGGGGCCUCGGUGACCCUGAGGUCCAGUGCGUGCCCAGGAGGAAGGGCAAGCACUCAACUCUGUCCCUUUCUGAUUUAUUUUAUUCCUUUUCAGAAUAAUGAGCCCUAGCCUCCGACCAAGGCCCAGUGAGAAUUCUGUAGUAUUCUUUUAAAUAAAAUGGAUUUUAAAGAUAUUUGGUACA
rnacentral:lncRNA from 1 species